UGUACCCUACGGGGGGCAGCAGUGAGGAAUAUUGGUCAAUGGGCUUACGCCUGAACCAGCCAAGUCGCGUGAGGGAUGACGGCCCUACGGGUUGUAAACCUCUUUUGUCGGGGAGCAAGACCCGCCACGAGUGGCGGAGCGAGAGUACCCGAAGAAAAAGCAUCGGCUAACUCCGUGCCAGCAGCCGCGGUAAUACGGAGGAUGCGAGCGUUAUCCGGAUUUACUGGGUUUAAAGGGUGCGCAGGCGGACCAUCAAGUCAGCGGUAAAAUCGUGGGGCCCAACCCCAUCCCGCCGUUGAAACUGG
rnacentral:rRNA from 1 species